rnacentral:lncRNA from 1 species
GCCAAUUUUUAUAUUUCUUCCAUCAAAUUAUUAUUUUUCCUAACCAAUAAUUAACAAUAUUGGCAUGGGUAUGCAUGCAUGCCUUGCAAUGUUUUCGUUCUGCCAAUUAUUCAAUAAAAUACUUACUCCCAAAGCAUUAUUUCAACACUAAAACUGAAGUAUAUUACAACUUCUUUUGAAUUAUUGCAAUUGAAUAUGUAGAAAAAAAUUUAAAGAAUGAGCUUUACAAAUGAGAAGUUGAGAACUGAUCAAGCACUACUUUUGCUAUGACAGUUCCCAUUAAUUAAACCCAAAGAGGGAAAGAGAAACUAAAAAUGUGAAGAACUAGAUAUCCUAUAUUGAAGAAUUUCUCAGAUGAGAGAGGCAUUGAUGAAUCAAAAAGUUGAUGAGCUGAACACAUUCAUGUUGCUUUAAUAAAGGGUCAUUAUGGAGUCAUAAGGUGGUCUGAUAGUGAAGAGGGUGAUCGUAAGGAAUGGAGUGCAGGAGGUUGUGGGUUCGAGUCCCACCAUCAACAAAAAAUGGGAGUUACAAGGUAGUUUGACGGUAAGGUGUAGGAGGUUGAGGGUGGAGUCUCACCCACAAUAAAAUACUAACAUAGUAACAAUUGCCGAUAAAAAAAAUAAAGGGUGAUUAGUUGUUUAUACUUGUUUUUCCAUUUGAAUAAUAUAAGUUAUUAUGGAUGAAUUGGGUCAGGAGUUGAUGGCUUUGAAGGGCCUCGUGGAAGUAAUUGCAACAGAAGUUCAUCUUGUAAUGGCCUACAAGCUGCACCAUAUUGAGGAGAAACAACCAACAUAGCAAAAAUGAUCAAAAGAACUAUCAACAUAAUCCUCAUCAUGUAACUAUAACAAAUAGACAUGUUUGUAAUAGUAACUAUCUAUAUAUGCUUUGAAGUUGUCUUUUUCUGAUUUUGAAGUAUGGAAAAAAGGUUCGCAGGGAAUGGGAG